rnacentral:rRNA from 1 species
UUCGCCCUUAGAGUUUGAUCCUGGCUCAGGACGAACGCUGGCGGCGCGCCUAACACAUGCAAGUCGAACGAGCGAGAGAGAGCUUGCUUUCUCGAGCGAGUGGCGAACGGGUGAGUAACGCGUGAGGAACCUGCCUCAAAGAGGGGGACAACAGUUGGAAACGACUGCUAAUACCGCAUAAGCCCACGGGUCGGCAUCGACCAGAGGGAAAAGGAGCAAUCCGCUUUGAGAUGGCCUCGCGUCCGAUUAGCUAGUUGGUGAGGUAAUGGCCCACCAAGGCAACGAUCGGUAGCCGGACUGAGAGGUUGAACGGCCACAUUGGGACUGAGACACGGCCCAGACUCCUACGGGAGGCAGCAGUGGGGAAUAUUGCACAAUGGGGGAAACCCUGAUGCAGCGACGCCGCGUGGAGGAAGAAGGUCUUCGGAUUGUAAACUCCUGUUGUUGGGGAAGAUAAUGACGGUACCCAACAAGGAAGUGACGGCUAACUACGUGCCAGCAGCCGCGGUAAAACGUAGGUCACAAGCGUUGUCCGGAAUUACUGGGUGUAAAGGGAGCGCAGGCGGGAAGACAAGUUGGAAGUGAAAUCUAUGGGCUCAACCCAUAAACUGCUUUCAAAACCUGUUUUUCUUUGAGUAGUGCAGAGGUAGGCGGAAUUCCCGGUGUAAGCGGUGGAAUGCGUAGAUAUCGGGAGGAACACCAGGGGUGAAAGGCGACCUACUGGGCACCAACUGACGCUGAGGCUCGAAAGCAUGGGUAGCAAACAGGAUUAGAUACCCUGGUAGUCCAUGCCGUAAACGAUGAUUACUAGGUGUUGGAGGAUUGACCCCUUCAGUGCCGCAGUUAACACAAUAAGUAAUCCACCUGGGGAGUACGACCGCAAGGUUGAAACUCAAAGGAAUUGACGGGGGCCCGCACAAGCAGUGGAGUAUGUGGUUUAAUUCGAAGCAACGCGAAGAACCUUACCAGGUCUUGACAUCCGAUGCAUAGUGCAGAGAUGCAUGAAGUCCUUCGGGACAUCGAGACAGGUGGUGCAUGGUUGUCGUCAGCUCGUGUCGUGAGAUGUUGGGUUAAGUCCCGCAACGAGCGCAACCCUUAUUGCCAGUUACUACGCAAGAGGACUCUGGCGAGACUGCCGUUGACAAAACGGAGGAAGGUGGGGAUGACGUCAAAUCAUCAUGCCCUUUAUGACCUGGGCUACACACGUACUACAAUGGCGUUUAACAAAGAGAAGCAAGACCGCGAGGUGGAGCAAAACUCAAAAACAACGUCUCAGUUCAGAUUGCAGGCUGCAACCCGCCUGCAUGAAGUCGGAAUUGCUAGUAAUCGCGGAUCAGCAUGCCGCGGUGAAUACGUUCCCGGGCCUUGCACUCACCGCCCGUCA